AGUAGCUGGGACUACAGAUGUGCACCACUAUGCUCAACUAAUUUUUCUUUUCCUUUUUUUCCAGAGAGAUGGGGUUUCACCACGUUGCCCAGGCUGGUCUCCAACUCCUGGUCUCAAGCAAUCUGCCUGCCUUAGCCUCCAAAGGUGCUGAGACUACUGAUGUGAGCCACCACAGCCUGGCAGAAAUCACCUUUUUAAUAGAAAGGAAAGAAGAAAGAGAAAAAAAGGAGUGAAGGAGAGGAAGAAAGAGGAAGAAAAAGAGGGAGAGAGAACGGGAAUGUUGCUUUAUUCUAAAAAUGGGUAUUAAUAAUGGCCGAUCAAUAUUUUGUAUAUUUAAAGUGGAGAAUGUAUAUUUUGUGUAUUUUUAUUCUUACAUAUUACUUAGAUGCCAAGCACCAAGUCAUUAUUCUCAACACGUUUGUUAAUCUGUGCAACCGAAACAAAUAAAAAUGUGCUGUAUGUCCACCAUCCA